GAGCUGUCUGGAGAAGAGGUUCCCCCUCAGUGGAAAGGGGGUUUAAACAUCACGUAUAGACUCGGAGGAGUAUUACAGACGGACGGCUGGAAAAUACGGAUGUUUAUUUCAACACAGAGUUACAUGAGGCGGAUUCAUAACGUGUUCGGAGUAAUACGAGGAGCCAUAGAACCAGACCGGUACGUGUUGAUUGGUAACCACAGAGACGCAUGGGUGUUUGGCGCCAUUGACCCUUCAAGUGCCACGGCCGUCAUGAAAGAAGCAUCGAGAGUAAUGGGAAACCUGGUGAA